rnacentral:rRNA from 1 species
UUUUAAAUGGCCGCAGUAUUUUGACUGUGCAAAGGUAGCAUAAUCAUUAGUUUUUUAAUUAAAAGCUUGUAUGAAAGGCUGGACGAGGUAAAAUCUGUCUCUAUUUAAAUUAUAGUAGAAUUUAACUUUUAAGUUAAAAGGCUUAAAUAUUAUUAAAAGACGAGAAGACCCUAUAGAUCUUUAUAAUUUAUUAAAUGAAAUUAAUUUAGAAAUAUUAAUAUUUUAUUUAAUGUAAUUAUUUUAUUGGGGUAAUAAAAAGAUUGUAUUAAUUCUUUUUUAUAAUAAACAUUGAUUUAUGAAUAUUAAUGAUCCAGUUUUACUGAUUAUAAGAUUAAGUUACCUUAGGGAUAACAGCGUAAUUUUUUUAGAGAGUUCAUAUCGAUAAAAAAGUUUGCGACCUCGAUGUUGGAUUAAAGAUUAUUUUAGGUGUAGAAGCUUAAUAAUUUUGGUCUGUUCGACCAUUAAAUCUUUACAUGAUCUGAGUUCAGACCGGCGUAAGCCAGGUCGGUUUCUAUCUUUAAUAAAAUAAAAUAUUUUAGUACGAAAGGACCAAAUAUUUGGUAUAUUUAUAUUUAAUUUAUUGAAUAUUA